rnacentral:rRNA from 1 species
UACGAAGGGGGCUAGCGUUGUUCGGAAUUACUGGGCGUAAAGCGCACGUAGGCGGAUACUUAAGUCAGGGGUGAAAUCCCGGGGCUCAACCCCGGAACUGCCUUUGAUACUGGGUAUCCCGAGUCCGGAAGAGGUGAGUGGAAUUCCGAGUGUAGAGGUGAAAUUCGUAGAUAUUCGGAGGAACACCAGUGGCGAAGGCGGCUCACUGGUCCGGUACUGACGCUGAGGUGCGAAAGCGUGGGGAGCAAACAGG